UCUCGAGACAUCCAACUCUAGAUAAUAUCUCUUGGGUGGUAUGGGAACUCCUUGGUGUUCCCCUGGACAAGCUGGAGGAGGCAGCUAGGGCAGGGGUGGGCAUUCUCAGUCCACGAGGGCCGGUGUCCCUGCAGGUUUUAGAUCUCACCUUGGGUCAACACACCUGAAUCACAUGAUUAGUUCGUUACCAGGCCUCUGAAGAACUUCAGGACAGGUUGAGGAGCUAAUUUAGCCGUUUAAAUCAGCUGUGUUGGUUCGAGGACACAUCUAAAACCUGCAGGGACACCGGCCCUCGAAGCCUGGAGUUGCCCACCCCUGAGCUAGGGAGAGGGAGGUCUGGGCUUUUCUGCUUAGGUUGCUACCCGGCCCCAGAGAAUCUGAAGAAAAUGGAUGGAUGUAUAGAUGUUCCAGGUGUGUCGCCAUGUGGGGAAAAAUGCUUCAACACAUGGUUGGGUUGGUAGUGUACCGGGGGCUUCUAUUUAGGACUACGCUUCCUCCUCACCAUCACUCAGCAAUCAUGUUUUCCCAACUGCUCGGGAAAAUCCGAUGGAAGAGAACUGACGGGGCCUCCGGAGCUACAAACAAGCUACAUUUAUAACAAGUAUAGUUAUUAGUAAAGUAGGCCAAGGGGUAACUAAACAUCUGAGCAGGAAAGAGUAGGAGAGACAGGUGAAGAGCUAAUGCUAAGCUAGCGAAUCCCUAAAGACACAGUGACUGAACACUGUAAAUAUAAUUAGUGGCUGAUUCAACAGAGUGUGCUUUGGAUAAAGCGCAGGAAGAUUACACUAUGAAAUAAGACGUUAUCUAUAAGUUUUUAAUUAAAUUGGCUACACAGAUAAGCAAUGCAAAAAUACCACUGUAAGAUAGAACAGGAAGUGAUACUCCAGACUGAGACAACACCAAGAAGUAUUUUGAAAUGACCUUGAGCAAGAUACUGAACUCUGAGUCGCUAUUGAUAAAUUUAUGCAAAUGUGUGUCUGGUACUUAAGUAUAAGAAAGAGCAUUUACAUGAAUGUUUGUGCGACUGGCUAAUAAGAAUUUUGAGUGCUCAAUUAGAGCACAAAAACACUGUAUAAGUGCCAGUCUACUUGCCGUUUUUCUGCACCACCUUUAGUUUCCAAACCUACUACUGCACCCAUUUGUGCUUAAAGGUUGAGAGGUUUUCAAAAUUCAAACAAAAUGUAACUGUACUAUGAAGCUGUCUCCUCCUCAAAUAAUAAUUAUAUAAAUAGAAAAAGUUGGGACAAGCACAAAAACCUGGAAUCCUGUUAACAAACAAGCAGAAAAACCAACGUCACUGGGGUAAAACGUGUUUGAAGAUCAAAUAUGUACACAAAACUGACAUUGGGUGAUGCAAAAUGGAGGGAAGAGGAAGCAAUUUCUGUUUGGUAUUAUUGUCUAUAGACAAUAAUAUGCUUCAGAAUAUCAUAACCACGAGAGCAUGCUUAUUUAAUUAUCUGCUUUGUGUGCUGAAGACCUUAAAUUCUUUCAACCUAUCUGCUCAGCCCCCGGCUUACUUUUCUACCUCCACUAGUUUCACAGAACAAUCAUGGAGACUAGUAAACACCAACAUAGAUAUAGUACAUCAAACUGUUCAUCAAACUCAGAUGUUCAUGUGGUGUCUUAAAGAAAUGCAGCAGCGUUUAAAGAUUUCUCUCUGUUUGUUGUUUGACAGGCUCAAAUGUGCCCAUACCUGUGCAAAGGAACAAGUUGUUCUAGAAAAAACAACCAAGAGAUGGGAGAGAUUGAUGCAGCUUGAAUUUUAUGCUUUUCAAAUUUGCCUGAAAUAGCUUUGUUUAAAAUGAGAAAUGAAAAUGUAUCAUUGUCUAUACUUUUCACCUGUCCGUUGACUUAAUCCCAAUCACGCUUGUGUAAUUGCUAGUCAGCUGUAUGAAAUACUAAAAAAUGAACAAAAAUAAACGUUCAUUUUCAUUUCUAGUAAGUUUGUUUCUUUAUUCCACAAAUCCUACAAGUCUACAGGUC
ensembl:lncRNA